GACGAACGCUGGCGGCGUGCUUAACACAUGCAAGUCGAACGGAAAGGCCCCUUUGGGGGUACUCGAGUGGCGCACGGGUGAGUAACACGUGAGUAACCUGCCCUUGACUUCGGGAUAACUUCAGGAAACUGGGGCUAAUACCGGAUAGGAAUCCUUGCUCCAUGGUGGGGGUUGGAAAGCUUCGGCGGUUUUGGAUGGACUCGCGGCUUAUCAGCUUGUUGGUGGGGUAGUGGCUUACCAAGGCUUUGACGGGUAGCCGGCCUGAGAGGGCGACCGGCCACAUUGGGACUGAGAUACGGCCCAGACUCCUACGGGAGGCAGCAGUGGGGAAUAUUGCACAAUGGGCGGAAGCCUGAUGCAGCAACGCCGCGUGCGGGAUGACGGCCUUCGGGUUGUAAACCGCUUUCAGCAGGGGCGAAGCUUGUGGUGACGGUACCUGCAGAAGAAGCACCGGCUAACUACGUG
rnacentral:rRNA from 1 species